UUGUUCUGAAGGAUAAUUAUUCCUCUAAAAAGAUCAAAAAUCUUUCACCUUAUUCUCGGUCAUCAAAACA
rnacentral:tRNA from 1 species